GUUGGAAGUGUAUCUGGGAGAAAUGGCAGGAGUUCACCAAGUCCUACUUCACUCUCCUUGUCCCAAGAACACAGGACGGUUUUCAACUUCUUUUGCAGAGCCAAGGUGUAAACCAAAAACCAGAGGCCCUAGUUCAAAGGACUGACUCCCCCAAAGAAGCUGUGUAUUUCCAUCUUGUGUGACCUGACACAAGCCAUCAGGAAGAUCGAGGAUCUGGCAUAUGUGUCUCCUGGAAUGGUGGCUUCAGCAAUGUCACUGACAUGUGUGACUGACUCAACCAAAGAUGUUUUCUCUGCAGAGAUGAAAUAGGACCUCCAUGGAGCAGCUACGACCAUCUCCCUGGGCUAAGAAACAAGAUGUUCCAUGGAGCUUCUCUGAGCACCGUUAAGACUCACAAUCCAGCCGCCUCCGUCAGUGUCCAUGUCGCAGUACACCUGCAUGGGCCGGCUGGCAUCACCAUUGAGGUAGAUGGUGUAGAGCCCACUGGCAGCGUUGGUGUUCUGCUGAACUUGACUGCAGUCUGAGGGGUGUGGAAAGCGAGCAUCCACUGAGACCAAGCAGAAGGACGGUGUUGUUAGACGGGAAAGAAGAGACAUUGCAGCUUUCCCCAUUACGAGACAAUUCGCUUGGUCUGGAGAUUAUUUCAUCGCCUCCUACACUACUUGCUUUUUCCAAUUCUUAGCUCACAUAUUGAUCAUGGGACAUGUUUUUAGAAGGAAGGCCAGCUGGCCAUCACUCUGCUUCCAUCAAACUCUGCAAAUGCACCUUUAAGUUAGGCUCAUGUCCCUCAGUGUCUUAGGUCUACUCUCCUAGCUUCCCCACUUCCCUCUUUAGUCACAUCACUGUGGGGUGGACUGGUUUGCAAACCAGAACCCCAUUUUUACUUCUCUAUAAUUCCACACUCCUCCCUGGCCGCUCCAAUGCCUCUCUGUGUAUUGUCACUUAAAAGACUAGAUUCCACGUUACCUGUAGAAAGGGUGGUAGACACAGUCCGGCUCCGCUGAUUACCUUUGAAGGCAACCAAGGAAACAGGAUAGGUGACACCCUGUUCCAGGUCUUGCAAUUCAAAUCUCUGCUGGCCUCUUGGGAGCUCCACCUCCUAUAAACAAAAGCGAUAACAGGCAGUGAGCAACUCAGUUUCUCUGCCCAGCAGCCUGGGCGUCAGCAGCAUUUACACACAUGACGUUAAAACUGCUCCAUGUGCUCAGUGGCAGCCCAAAAUCCCAGCCAGUGUCAGUCACUUUCCUGGAGGGCCAUGCCAUGGACAGUCCACCCUGCUAGAAGGGCUAGCUGGGAACUGAGGCUGUGCAUGGCCAACACAGGAACCCCAGCCAGGUUGCCUAGGGACUUGGUCCUUCAGAUACCUGGAGAGGCACUGACGAUAGUAACUGCUAUCAGCAGUAGGCUGGCAAUGUUUGAUUAAGAACAUGGUUUUAGAAAGAAGGCAAACUGGCCAUCAUAACUGUGAGACACUGAAGUAGUUGGUAUUUCAAGAAACCCUGAAUAUGCCUUACUCUGUAAACAUUGGACUAAACUCUCCAAGUCGGACAGUCAGAUGCAGUCAUUGUAAUAAUGAGUAAGUCAAAGUGUUCUCUUUUUUUCUUUCUUAUUUUUUUUAUCUGUUUGUUU